GGUCUGUUGGUCUAGAGGUAUGAUACCUUCUUAGGGUGGAGGUGGUCCCGGGUUCGAUUCCCGGACAGACCC
rfam:Ascoidea rubescens DSM 1968 unplaced genomic scaffold ASCRTscaffold_10, whole genome shotgun sequence.